rnacentral:lncRNA from 1 species
CGGGCCGAAUCCUUAUAUCGUUGAUAUGUCAAGUCAAUGCACUAUUAUUGUCUUUAUACUGCAAUCUAAAAAAACAUUUUCAAUUGUUGUUUAAUGCGUUAAGGUUAUUUAUUUGAUUUAAAUAUUGGGGGAAAUACCCUUUAAAAAGGCCUCAGAUCAUGCUCGCGGAGAAAUAUACAACACAAUGAAAUUUACAUUUACCUGUUGAAACCAACACUCAAUGGUGAACGAAAUCGUUUGAGUAUGGACUUAAAUAUCAACCAUAAGCAUAAAACAUAAUGAUUUAUAGGUUGCAAACAAAAAAUAUUAACAAAUUAAAUAUGUUUUUCCAAUAAUUGCAAAAGAAACAAUGUUGAGUCGUUCCACGCAUCGUUG